UCAUUUCAGAAGGAACUGGCUGCUUCUCCUCUGCCUUUCAAUCUGUCAGCAGAGCCCCCUCCCACCCUCCCUUACCCCCGACCUCCUCCACUGGCAGGAAGUAAACAAAAACCAGCUGGAAUGGAAGCCCGGGGACAGUGUUUGCAGACUUCAGCCCUCUGAAGUACACAGGUAAUCCUUUGGACAGUCCACAAAGAAGUCUUGGCAGGUAAUUUCAAGAGAAAGACUGCGAAGGUUUCUCCCCUUUUGUAUCUGCUGAUCUUAUCUCUUGCAGAUUCAGCUCAAAAGCAAUCAAUUUAAAAACGACUGGAGCUGCCACCACUACCCGAAGGCUUAUGCCAGGGGCCCUACCAGCUACUUUGUAUUCAGUAUCUCAGAUUCUCAACCAGGUUGUUAAUCUUAACAACCCAGGGACAGUCUCUUGAAAAUACCCAUUAUAUAGAAAACUGUGACUCAGAGACAUUAAGUCACUGCUCCAAGGUCAAACAGCUCUUAAGUGGCAAACUGGAUAGACGAUCUCUAUUUCAUUUGCCAUCAGAUUCUGCUCUGUUUUUAUAACUCUGGUAGCUCUUACCUAAUCAGAAUUUUUUUUUUUUUAAGUUUCCUAAAGUCGUCACAAGGGUAGUUCAUCCUAAAGGGUGUAAACAAACAGACGCAAAACCAAGGCCACAGAAGAGCAUUCUCAAGUCCAAUUAUUUGCCUCCCUCCUCCGUCUUUCCCUGGUGACGUUAAACUAACGUACCCUUGUAGAGUACAUCUUCUCAAGCAGAUAGAUAAGAUAUUGAAGGGACAGAGGAGGGACACUGGAUGUGUUGGAGGAUCCCAGAGUUAUGUGCCCGAGGAGGACUCAGCAUGAGGGGCAAAGUCUGGACGAGAGUGUGUGAAGAAGCCUUACCACUGAAGAGUGAAUGCCCCCUGGGAAACCCUGCAAGGCUUGGCAUCUGGGAUGUUAGUGCCCUGAACAGUGAUCGAACCUGA
rnacentral:lncRNA from 1 species